rnacentral:rRNA from 1 species
UACGUAGGGUCCGAGCGUUGUCCGGAAUUACUGGGCGUAAAGAGCUCGUAGGUGGUUUGUCGCGUUGUUCGUGAAAACUCACAGCUCAACUGUGGGCGUGCGGGCGAUACGGGCAGACUUGAGUACUGCAGGGGAGACUGGAAUUCCUGGUGUAGCGGUGGAAUGCGCAGAUAUCAGGAGGAACACCGGUGGCGAAGGCGGGUCUCUGGGCAGUAACUGACGCUGAGGAGCGAAAGCGUAGGGAGCAAACAGG